rnacentral:misc_RNA from 1 species
AGAAAGCUAUGGCUCCCCCAAGUGAACAUUGAGUGAUGCAGCCAGAUUGAGAUGGAGACUUCUUUUAAAGUAGACAGAAAGGUUGCAUUGUCCUGUAAUUCGUUUCCUGCAUAAUUUGUCAGCUAGUCUGUCAUAAUAUUCCGGACUAGUUCAUGAUUUUGAAUAACUUGUCCAUAUAACUCGUGUUAUGGAGUAAAUCUCUUUGUGGAAUGUUGACCAUCCUUCUAGCCCUCUUCCUCUGCCUGUGUGUUGAGCAAAUAGGUGCUCCACGCCACUUGUUUUAAAAUGAAUUUAUCUUCUACUACGAGUUACAUUGGAUAGUUUCCCUAAAUGUUACAUCAAUUAGGCCAAUCUUAUGACGAUCUAGUAGAUUUACAAACCAUUCACAUUCAUCACCACAUUAAGAAGUCCAAAAGACCCAUUUGCAGAUUUGCCAGAGACGCACACCUUAUCACAUUUUCGCGAAC